GAAAGGAAAGAAAGAAGAAAGAGAUAAAAGAGAAGAAGAAGGAGAAGAAGGUUUCAAAUCAAAUGUACGAUAUUUACAAUAAACCAAAUUCUUCUUCUCUCUUCUCUCUCUCUCUCUCUCUUUCUCCUUCUCUAAUUCCGAUUCAGCAUAGCGAGCAACUUGUUGUUGUUCAUCUUUUCGAAUAAUAUCAAGUACUUCAUUAAUUGAUGGAAUUUUCGAU
rnacentral:ribozyme from 13 species